GACGAACGCUGGCGGCGUGCUUAACACAUGCAAGUCGAACGGAAAGGCCCUGCUUUUGUGGGGUGCUCGAGUGGCGACCGGGUGAGUAACCCGUGAGUAACCUGCCCUUGACUUUGGGAUAACUUCAGGAAACUGGGGCUAAUACCGGAUAGGAGCUCCUGCUGCAUGGUGGGGGUUGGAAAGUUUCGGCGGUUGGUGGUGGAAUCGCGGCUUAUCAGCUUGUUGGGGAGGUAGUGGCUUACCAAGGCUUUGACGGGUAGCCGGCCUGAGAGGGUGACCGGCCACAUUGGGACUGAGAUACGGCACAGACUCCUACGGGAGGCAGCAGUGGGGAAGAUUGCACAAUGGGCGGAAGCCUGAUGCAGCAACGCCGCGUGCGGGAUGACGGCCUUCGGGUUGUAAACCGCUGUCGCCUGUGACGAAGCGUGAGUGACGGUAAUGGGUAAAGAAGCACCGGCUAACUACGUG
rnacentral:rRNA from 1 species